ACCAGACUCCUACGGGAGGCAGCAGUGGGGGAUAUUGCACAAUGGGGGAAACCCUGAUGCAGCGACGCCGCGUGGGUGAAGGAGCACCUCGGUGCGUAAAGCCCUAUCGGCAGGGAAGAAACAGACGGUACCUGACUAAGAAGCCCCGGCUAACUACGUGCCAGCAGCCGCGGUAAUACGUAGGGGGCAAGCGUUAUCCGGAUUCACUGGGUGUAAAGGGAGCGUAGACGGCCAAGCAAGCCAGGGGUGAAAGCCCGGGGCCCAACCCCGGGACUGCCCUUGGAACUGCUUGGCUGGAGUGCGGGAGGGGCAGGCGGAAUUCCUGGUGUAGCGGUGAAAUGCGUAGAUAUCAGGAGGAACACCGGCGGCGAAGGCGGCCUGCUGGACCGCGACUGACGUUGAGGCUCGAGAGCGUGGGGAGCAAACAGGAUUAGAUACCCUUGUAU
rnacentral:rRNA from 1 species